rnacentral:rRNA from 1 species
AACGAACGCUGGCGGCAUGCCUAACACAUGCAAGUCGAACGCGUGUAGCAAUACACGAGUGGCGGACGGGUGAGUAACGCGUGGGAACCUGCCCAAUGGUAGGGAAUAACUGCGGGAAACUGCAGCUAAUACCCUAUGCUCCCUACGGGGGAAAGAUUUAUCGCCAUUGGAGGGGCCCGCGUCGGAUUAGCUAGUUGGCGGGGUAACGGCCCACCAAGGCUACGAUCCGUAGCUGGUCUGAGAGGAUGAUCAGCCACACUGGGACUGAGAUACGGCCCAGACUCCUACGGGAGGCAGCAGUGGGGAAUAUUGGACAAUGGGGGGAAACCCUGAUCCAGCAAUGCCGCGUGAGUGAAGAAGGCCUUAGGGUUGUAAAGCUCUUUCGGCGGGACGAUGGUGACGGUACCCGCAGAAGAAGCCCCGGCUAACUUCGUGCCAGCAGCCGCCGCAGU